GACGAACGCUGGCGGCGUGCUUAACACAUGCAAGUCGAACGGAAAGGCCCUGCUUUUGUGGGGUGCUCGAGUGGCGAACGGGUGAGUAACACGUGAGUAACCUGCCCUUGACUUUGGGAUAACUUCAGGAAACUGGGGCUAAUACCGGAUAGGAGCUCCUGCUGCAUGGUGGGGGUUGGAAAGUUUCGGCGGUUGGGGAUGGACUCGCGGCUUAUCAGCUUGUUGGUGGGGUAGUGGCUUACCAAGGCUUUGACGGGUAGCCGGCCUGAGAGGGUGACCGGCCACAGUGGGACUGAGAUACGGACCAGACUCCUACGGGAGGCAGCAGUGGGGAAUAUUGCACAAUGGGCGGAAGCCUGAUGCAGCAACGCCGCGUGCGGGAUGACGGCCUUCGGGUUGUAAACCGCUUUCGCCUGUGACGAAGCGUGAGUGACGGUAAUGGGUAAAAAAGCACCGGCUAAGUACGUG
rnacentral:rRNA from 1 species